GUGAAAUCCUAACUUUGCCACUUACUAGCCAUGUGAACUUGGGCAAGUGACCUAAUCCUCUGCAUUUCAUCUCUAAAUUGGGGAGAAUAGAAGCAUCUACUUCAUGUAGUAGCCAGGAUUAGAAGAGAUGGGGCCACUUGAGGGAAAAGACCUACCCAAGGGCACAUAAUCUGUACAUGAGAGAGAGCCAGAUGUAACAGACUGAGUACUGGACUUGGGGUUAAACAGACUGUGAAUCUUUCCACCCCAUUGGCAAGAAUAACUGGGCCCUGGAUAGAAUGUGAUGAAUGUAUAUUCUUAAUGAGAAGUGGAAAUAAUUUGUGGUUGAGAGCUGUGCCUCAGAUCAGAGUGACAGGAUACAUGGCUAGGCUAUAUUUUCCAGCAGAUUAAGAGCUGCGGCCCAAGACUCUGAAAUAUGAAGAAAAAAGGAGAAGAUGACAGCAUAUCUUUUUAAAGAAAUAUUUUCCAGCCAAAUGGUGUAGCAGAGGACUUCCAGGAAUUUGUUCUUGUUCUGUAUCAAAGGUGAAGAGUUCGUAGCCUUCAAGGAAACAAGAAACCAUGGGAUGGAGUGAAGGAAGGUGGCCUGGAACCAGCUGCUGAGCCUCUCUGAGCCCCAGUUUCCUCGUCUCUAAAAUGGGGCUGAUCUCCUCUCCCUCAGACUGUUGUUGCAGGAAUUAAAACAGGUGUUGAGUGGGAAAGCAUCAGUCCCAUAGCAAAUGGCCCCUGAGUAGUAGGAUCUGAGUUCUGGUUCUGGUCCUGCUGGGGUAUGGCUGGUUGAGAGGUCAAAGAGCCCCUACAGAUUCAGGACCACGGCCAGCACCCACACUGCCUUCCGUAAACACUGAGCUAAAUAAACCUAGAGCCUUGGUGAUGAGAUCAGCACUGCCUUUGUAAGUUGGUUUUCUCAACAAACAUCAACUGAACAUCUACUAAACGUAAGAGCACUCUGGCUGUCAACUGAAAACAGCAGCAGCAGCAGCAGCAGCAGCAACACCACCACCAACAACAACGACAACUGUUGCAUAUAUAACUGAAGAUCCACAGAGUCCCUCUUUCCAGUGUUAGUUGCUACAAGGAGUGAGAGAAUGAAGAUCUGACCUCAAGGAAUACAAGAGUUUUGUUCAAAGUUCCAAGACUAAGCUAUUAGAAGGGAGGGAGGGCCUGGUGCCAUGUCAUCUCUGACCAAGAGAAUUGGUAGAAUAGAAAUAAUCUAUUUCUCACGUGGUCUAGGACUUGACAAUUUACAUAGCAGUUUUAUAUCCUCUACUUCAUUUGACAUGCUCCCAUCACCCUGUGAAGCAUGUGUCAUUGUUACCACUCACUUUCCAGAUAAGGAGAGAUGGGGAGGCUCAGGGAGGUGAAUGGAUUUGCCUGAGGCCACUGGUCAGUGACUGAGCUGGGAUAGGAAUUACUUUCUCUGGUCUCUUGAUCUCACCUCUUUGUCUCACUCUUUCUGCUGCAUCUCAGUUGCUUCUGCGUCUGGCCAGACCCAAAAACAAAUCAUGUAAUUGAGUUGGAAUGUGGGUGCUGGGGCCCGGGAGACAAUGUUUUCUGCUUUUCAAUCUGUUCUUAAUUUAUUAAAGUGAUGAAAUAAGGAAGAGGCCCAGAAGGGUGGAUGUUUUCCAUCAGUGAGUCAGGGGAACAUGCAGAGGCAGAAGGUCAGGAGGAAGCUGCUGUUGCUCCAGCAGCUUCACCCACUCUGGCCAAGUCCCCACAGAUGUGCUGGUGGGGGAGACCUUCUUAGAGCUGCCCCAAGAGUAAAAUAAACCAGAAAAGAGCAAGCCCUACUGGAGACUCUCUCCCUCCCCACAAUGUUAUCUCUGACUACCCGAGCACCUUCCCUCUUAUCUGACAAAUGUCCAUUGUCUAAGGGAGAGACCGAGUGAAGGCAGGAGGAGGCCUAAUUCAGCCUGAGGAGGGUCAGGAAAGGCUUUCUAGAGAAGGUGACACUGGCACCUUAGACUUGAAAGCUGAAAAGAAGUGAUCUGGGAAAGGGGGAUGAGGAGGAGAAAGUGUUUUCCAGGUGGAGGAAAUAGCAGGUGGGAGGUUUGGAGAUAAGAGAGGGAAUGGCUGGAGCCAUCAGGGUGGAGAGAUGAGGCUGGACCGGCAGAGGGGUUGGCAGUGCUGGUAUCCAGAGGGCCUUCCAGGUCAGGUUGUUAUAUCUCCUCUGAGGAAGAGUCCUGAUUGUUAGCUCAAUUUAUGUGGUUAGGCAUAGAGAAUGGAUUGCAGGAGACAGUGGCAACCCAAGGCAAGUAAUAAAAAGGCUAGAGAGUUGGUGGGGCCUGAGUAGGGGGCAGUGGGAAUAGGGAUCAAGAGACAGAGAGGUGGAGGGACGGAUGGAAUGGAAUCUUUUUUUUUUUUUUGAGACAAUGUCUCACUCUGUCACCCAGGCUGGAGUGCCGUGAUUGCAUCACAGCACUGCAGCCUUGAUCUCCUGGGCUAAAGCAAUCCUCCCACUUCAGCCUCCUGAACAGCUGGGACUUCAGGCACAUGCCACCAUGCCCAUAUGAUAAUUUUAAUUUUUUUUUUCAUUAGAGAUGGAGUCUUGCUAUGUUGCCCUGGCUGGUUUCAAACUCCUGAGCUCAAGCAAUCCUCCUACCUCAGCCUCCCAAAGUGUUGGGAUUACAGACGUGAGCCACCACAUCCAGACUGGAAUAGAAUCUUAUUAGACUAAUGACCUUCUAGUGCAUGAUGACUGGAUGGUGGGUGGAGGAAGGAAGAGGAAGAAGCUGGCUUGGCCCAGGCCUUUGUGACUUGGCCCAGGUGGCCACUACAGACAGCUGUCUGUGUACAGUGUACAGAGGGCAAUGUUCUUGAAUUGCUGUUCAAACCCAGACUGUUUGCUUGUCAUCUGUACUAGUCAGGUUCUCCAGUGAAUCCAGAACCAGUGAAAUACACAUGCACACAUAUACACACACAAAAUAAGGAGUCAUCAUGCAGUUAUGGAAACUGAGAAGUCCCAUGAUCUGUCUCUGCAAACUGAAGACUCAAGAAUGCCAGUGGUGUGAUUCUGGUCCAAGC
rnacentral:lncRNA from 1 species